AUUGAACGCUGGCGGCAGGCCUAACACAUGCAAGUCGAGCGAGCGGCGGACGGGUGAGUAAUGUAUGGGGACUGACCGCUAGAGGGGGAUAACUACUGGAAACGGUGGCUAAUACCGCAUACUAUCGGAUAAUCCAUAUGGGAUUAGCUAGUAGGGGGGGUAAAGGCUCACCGAGGCGACGAUGCGUAGCUGGUCUGAGAGGAUGAUCAGCCACACUGGGACUGAGGCACGGCCCAGACUCCUACGGAGUCAGCAGUGUGGAAUAUUGCACAAUGGGCGCAAGCCUGAUCCAGCCAUGCCGCGUGUAUGAAGAAGGCCUUAGGGUUGUAAAGUACUUUCAGCGGGGAGGCGUUACCCGCAGAAGAAGCACCGGCUAACUCCGUGCCAGCAGCCGCGGUAAUUC
rnacentral:rRNA from 1 species